rnacentral:rRNA from 1 species
GAUGAACGCUGGCGGCGUGCCUAAUACAUGCAAGUCGAGCGAACAGACGAGGAGCUUGCUCCUCUGACGUUAGCGGCGGACGGGUGAGUAACACGUGGAUAACCUACCUAUAAGACUGGGAUAACUUCGGGAAACCGGAGCUAAUACCGGAUAAUAUAUAGAACCGCAUGGUUCAAUAGUGAAAGACGGUUUUGCUGUCACUUAUAGAUGGAUCCGCGCCGCAUUAGCUAGUUGGUAAGGUAACGGCUUACCAAGGCAACGAUGCGUAGCCGACCUGAGAGGGUGAUCGGCCACACUGGAACUGAGACACGGUCCAGACUCCUACGGGAGGCAGCAGUAGGGAAUCUUCCGCAAUGGGCGAAAGCUUGACGGAGCAACGCCGCGUGAGUGAUGAAGGUCUUCGGAUCGUAAAACUCUGUUAUUAGGGAAGAACAAAUGUGUAAGUAACUAUGCACGUCUUGACGGUACCUAAUCAGAAAGCCACGGCUAACUACGUG